rnacentral:misc_RNA from 1 species
AACCAUAGAAACCUGCGGAGUACCUGCGGAGGGAUCAUUACCAAUUAUAUAUAUGUUAGUUUGUAUACCGCUGUCAAAGGGGGUUAUACACAACUACUAUGUAAACGUUGAACUAGAUCAAUUGGUGUGGAUUGCUUGGGAAUGGACGAAGCGACAAGCCUCUUCCGGACAGGCAAGCCCCACACUGAUAACCUUUUUCAUAUCAUUUACUCGUAUAUACUACCACAACAAAAAAAAAUC